AUUACAAGUGGGUACUUCUGCUCCAUCUCCUUAUUUGCUGCCGUAAUUUGUUGAAAUCGAGUUGUCAUCACAGUUCCAAUCACGGCAGUUAAUGAUGAAAGCGCUUUAAUACGGCAGAAUUCUCGCGGCCAUGCUAUUAGAUAAUUAGAGAAGAUUUCAAGAACUGCAAGUGCUAAUCCUUGGGCCCGAGGACAGGAUUUCUAUUCGAUCAGACAGAAGCAGUCUGUAUAAACACGGGUGUGUGUGCCAGGCAUCGCUUUUGGUGUUGCUGCUGCAACCCACCGCACACGAGUCCAGGUGGUCGACAACCUGCAUUUUAAUUUCCGAGAAUCUUUGAGAGGAGGGGAGGCCUCAGUAUCCACAAGCCCACUCCAUUAAUCUGGAAUUAAUGGUCAUAAUCCUAGAAAGAACAGAAGCUGCCAUUGUGGGAGAUGCUGGCAGGUGCUCAGAAAUGGAAUAAAGGAGCUACGAGGUAAUCACCAGAGAUGUGUUCCUCCUUGUUUCAUCCCUUAUGAAGAUUACUAACAUACGGUCUAAUGGCUUUGCAGAGAUGAGAUCUGAAGACAAUGCUGCUGCAGAGAUAACAAAAUAAAAAGAAAUAGCUUGUUGCCUCUUGUAAUGACCAUGGAAACUAUACAAAGACAGGGGCUUACUGUAAUUUACUCAUUUACAUACAGCGCUUCUGCAAUGCUAAAGCCCUGUAAUACCUUAUUUGCUAUACUGUGGCAGUCACAUUUGUUAUUCAAUUGAACCAUGAAAACUAAAAAGAUGUUGCUGCACAAUUAAAUGAAAUUAAGCCAAUAUAUAAUAAAAUGCCAAUGGCUAUUAUGCUACUAUUGUGCGUUAUACAAUAUUUGAAUUGGACAACACAACUCUGUAUAGCUACUCAAAAUCACAGACAAUAACAUACUGUACAAUAUCUUGCUGCUCUUUACAAUUCUUACCUAUGCCUUAACCUACUUUCACUGUGCUUUAUUACACUUUGCUCUGCAUUUACUGUGGUAAACUUUGACAAGGGUAAUAACACCUGUCUUGAAGAUCCAGUAAUUGUGUUUUAAAAGAUGCUUUGCAAUUUAAACCAUA